rnacentral:rRNA from 1 species
AUACGUAGGGGGCGAGCGUUGUCCGGAAUGAUUGGGCGUAAAGGGCGCGUAGGCGGCCCGGUAAGUCUGGAGUGAAAGUCCUGUUUUUAAGAUGGGAAUUGCUUUGGAUACUGUCGGGCUUGAGUGCAGGAGAGGUAAGUGGAAUUCCCAGUGUAGCGGUGAAAUGCGUAGAGAUUGGGAGGAACACCAGUGGCGAAGGCGACUUACUGGACUGUAACUGACGCUGAGGCGCGAAAGUGUGGGGAGCAAACAGGAUUAGAUACCCUGGUAGUCCACACUGUAAACGAUGAGUGCUAAGUGUUGGAGGGUUUCCGCCCGUCAGUGCUGCAGCUAACACAUUAAGCACUCCGCCUGGGGAGUACGGCCGCAAGGCUGAAACUCAAAUGAAUUGACGGGG